AUUGAACGCUGGCGGCAGGCCUAACACAUGCAAGUCGAGCGAGCGGCGGACGGGUGAGUCAUGUCUGGGAAACUGCCUGAUGGGGGGGGAUAACUACUGGAAACGGUAGCUCAUCACGCAUACCAUCAACUGUGCCCAGAGGGGAUUAGCUAGUAGGUGGGGUAACGGCUCACCUAGGCGACGAUCCCUCGCUGGUCUGAGAGGAUGACCAGCCACACUGGAACUGAGACACGGUCCAGACUCCUACGGGAGGCAGCAGUGGGGAAUAUUGCACAAUGGGCGCAAGCCUGAUGCAGCCAUGCCGCGUGUGUGAAGAAGGCCUUCGGGUUGUAAAGCACUUUCAGCGGGGAGGCGUUACCCGCAGAAGAAGCACCGGCUAACUCCGUGCCAGCAGCCGCGGUAAUUC
rnacentral:rRNA from 1 species